rnacentral:rRNA from 1 species
AGUGAACGCUGGCGGUAGGCCUAACACAUGCAAGUCGAACGGCAGCACAGUAAGAGCUUGCUCUUACGGGUGGCGAGUGGCGGACGGGUGAGGAAUACAUCGGAAUCUACUUUUUCGUGGGGGAUAACGUAGGGAAACUUACGCUAAUACCGCAUACGACCUACGGGUGAAAGCAGGGGAUCUUCGGACCUUGCGCGAUUGAAUGAGCCGAUGUCGGAUUAGCUAGUUGGCGGGGUAAAGGCCCACCAAGGCGACGAUCCGUAGCUGGUCUGAGAGGAUGAUCAGCCACACUGGAACGGAGACACGGUCCAGAGUCCUACGGGAGGCAGCAGUGGGGAAUAUUGGACAAUGGGCGCAAGCCUGAUCCAGCCAUACCGCGUGGGUGAAGAAGGCCUUCGGGUUGUAAAGCCCUUUUGUUGGGAAAGAAAAGCAGCAGGUUAAUACCCCGCUGUUCUGACGGUACCCAAAGAAUAAGCACCGGCUAACUUCGUG